rnacentral:rRNA from 1 species
GCGAGAAAACUUUGCAAUGUGCGAAAGCACGACAAGGUUAAUCCGAGUGGUUUCUGCUAAAGAAACCUUUUGUCAGUCCUAGAAACACUAACGAAUAAGGGGUGGGCAAGUUCUGGUGUCAGCCGCCGCGGUAAAACCAGCACCUCAAGUGGUCAGGAUGAUUAUUGGGCCUAAAGCAUCCGUAGCUCGUUUUGUAAGUUUUCGGUUAAAUCCAUACGCUUAACGUAUGGGCUGCCGGGAAUACUGCAUAACUAGGAAGUGGGAGAGGUAGACGGUACUCGGUAGGAAGGGGUAAAAUCCUUUGAUCUAUUGAUGACCACCUGUGGCGAAGGCGGUCUACCAGAACACGUUCGACGGUGAGGGAUGAAAGCUGGGGGAGCAAACCGGAUUAGAUACCCCCGUAGUCCCUGAGCGGGCUGGCAAGGCGCAU